rnacentral:lncRNA from 1 species
CCCCCUAUGGGUCAGGUGUGGGGUCAGUGUGUGUCCCUCUAUGGGUCCCUCUAUGUGUCCCCCUAUGGGUCAAUGUGUGUCCCCCUAUGUGUCCCCCUAUGGGUCAGUGUGUGGGUCAGUGUGUGGGUCAGUGUGUGUCCCUCUAUGGGUCCCUCUAUGUGUCCCCCUAUGGGGCAAUGUGUGGGUCAAUGUGUGUCCCUCUAUGGGUCCCUCUAUGGGUCAGUGUGUGGGUCAAUGUGUAUCCCUCUAUGGGUCAAUGUGGGUCCCUCUAUGGGUCCCCCUAUGGGUCAGUGUGUCCCUCUAUGGGUCCCCCUAUGGGUCCCUCUCUGGGUCCCCCUAUGGGUCAGUGUGUGUCCCUCUCUGGGUCCCCUAUGGGUCCCCCUAUGGGUCAAUGUGUGUCCCCCUAUGGGUCCCCCUAUGGAUCAAUGUGUGGGUCAAUGUGUGUCCCUCUAUGUGUCCCCCUAUGGGUCAGUGUGUGGGUCAGUGUGUGGGUCAGUGUGUGUCCCUCUAUGGGUCCCUCUAUGUGUCCCCCUAUGGGUCAAUGUGUGUCCCCCUAUGGGUCCCCCUAUGGGUCCCUCUAUGGGUCAAUGUGUCCCUCUAUGUGUCCCCCUAUGGGUCAGUGUGUGGGUCAGUGUGUGGGUCAGUGUGUGUCCCUCUAUGGGUCCCUCUAUGUGUCCCCCUAUGGGGCAAUGUGUGUCCCUCUAUGGGUCCCCCUAUGGGUCAGUGUGUAGGUCAGUGUGUGGGUCCCUCUAUGGGUCACUGUGUGGGUCAAUGUGUGUCCCUCUAUGGGUCAAUGUGUGUCCCUCUCUGGGUCCCCCUAUGGGUCCCUCUAUGUGUCCCCCUAUGGGGGCAAUGUGUGUCCCUCUAUGGGUCCCCCUAUGGGUCAAUGUGUGUCCCCCUACGGGCCCCCCUAUGGGUCAGUGUGUGUCCCUCUAUGGGUCCCUCUAUGGGUCCCUCUAUGGGUCAGUGUGUGGGUCAUUGUGUGUCCCUCUAUGGGUCCCCCUAUGGGUCCCCCUAUGGGUCAAUGUGUGUCCCUCUAUGGGUCCCCCUAUGGUCAGUGUGUGGGUCAGUGUGUGUCCCUCUAUGGGUCCCUCUAUGUGUCCCCCUAUGGGUCAAUUGUGUGUCCCCCUAUGUGUCCCCCUAUGGGUCAGUGUGUGGGUCAGUG